rnacentral:tRNA from 1 species
AGCGGGGUAUUGAAAUGGCAUCAUACGUGGCUCAUAACCAUGAGUUGGGCGGUUCGAAUCCCUCCCCCGCUACCA